rnacentral:rRNA from 1 species
AUGUGCCACUCCGGUUUAUUUUUGAUAUUAAUUGCUCCUUCUAACAUAACAUUAUACUCCCUCCAGAGAGCUGCGUCUUCACUCUUUUGGCCUACUUACUGCAUCUGUUGCACCCCCAGCCCUGGUUGCUGCUGCUGCUGUUUUCAAUGUACAAUCAGUAGUAUAUUUCAUCUGUUGGUUGAAUAA